rnacentral:rRNA from 1 species
UGGGGAAUAUUGGACAAUGGGCGAAAGCCUGAUCCAGCCAUGCCGCGUUUGUGAAGAAGGUCUUCGGAUUGUAAAGCAUUUUAAGUUGGGAGGAAGGGCAGUAAGCGAAUACCUUGCUGUUUUGACGUUACCGACAGAAUAAGCACCGGCUAACUCUGUGCCAGCAUUCGCGGUAAUACAGAGGGUGCAAGCGUUAAUCGGAAUUACUGGGCGUAAAGCGCGCGUAGCUGGUUCGUUAAGUUGAAUGUGAAAGGCCCGUGCUCAACCUGGGAACAACAGACAAAACUGGCGAGCAAGAGUAGGGCAGAGAGUGGUGGAAUUUCCUGAGUAGCGGUGAAAAGCGUAGAUAUAGGAAGGAACACCAGUGGCGGAGACGACCACCUGGGCGCAUACUGACACUGAGGUGCGAAAGCGUGGGGGGCAAACAGG